CAUCCUCCAAGGCUAAAUACUCCUGACUGACCGAUAGUGAACCAGUACCGUGAGGGAAAGGCGAAAAGAACCCCGGCGAGGGGAGUGAAAAAGAACCUGAAACCGUGUACGUACAAGCAGUGGGAGCACAGGUUUACCUGUGUGACUGCGUACCUUUUGUAUAAUGGGUCAGCGACUUAUAUUCUGUAGCAAGGUUAACCGUAUAGGGGAGCCGUAGGGAAACCGAGUCUUAACCGGGCGUUAAGUUGCAGGGUAUAGACCCGAAACCCGGUGAUCUAGCCAUGGGCAGGUUGAAGGUUGGGUAACACUAACUGGAGGACCGAACCGACUAAUGUUGAAAAAUUAGCGGAUGACCUGUGGC
rnacentral:rRNA from 1 species